ACAAAUGACCAACAUCACUGACGCCGCUGAAGGUGGAAACCUCAACUUCAAGUGUGAAGCCGAAGGUGAUCCAGAACCUUCCAUUGUCUGGAAGAAACUUGGAUCAGAGUCAACCUACUCAGACACUGGUGUUAAGGAGGAAGGACUGACCAUUGAAACUUUUGUCCCCGCUGAUUUGUCUGACGCCAUCAUCAAAAGAGCGGGAAAAACCAUCUCCUUCAACCCCGUCAGAUACAGCCACGUUGGGAUCUACGUCUGCAGUGCUGUGAACACUGUUGGGAACGCCACACAGGCAGUCAGUCUUGAAGUUCUGUACAAACCCAACUUUGACACAGAUUUCAAAGAUAAAGAGUUCUGGGGUUGGGCGGGUCACAGGGCCAACUUGACCUGUGUGGCCAGAGCCAACGAGAAGGCCGGCAUUCAGUGGAUUAUCAAGGAUGAGUCCGACCCAACCAAACUGCC